rnacentral:ncRNA from 1 species
CCUUAUUAAGAGUGGUUUAGGGACAGGCCCUGUGACACCACGGCAACCUGCUUUUGCAAGGUGCUAAUUCCUGCGGAUUUUCCGAAAGAUAAGG